UCUCUGCGAAUUUGACAUUUU
rnacentral:piRNA from 1 species